rnacentral:rRNA from 1 species
UACAGAGAGUGCAAACGUUGUUCGGAAUUACUGGGCUUAAAGCGCGCGUAGGCGGCAUCGUAAGUGUCUGGUGAAAUCCCACGGCUCACCCGUGGAACUGCCGGGCAUACUGCGGUGCUAGAGUGUGGUAGGGGAGAGCGGAACUCCUGGUGGAGCGGUGAAAUGCGUAGAUAUCAGGAGGAACACCGGUGGCGAAGGCGGCUCUCUGGUCCAUAACUGACGCUGAGGUGCGAAAGCUAGGGGAGCAAACGGG